GGUGGGUAUUCACAGGGCUGGGCUGUUAGCGUGCAGGGGUUCUAGCUCUCAGGUAAGUACAGUGUUCGAUACACAGGUGAGUAUUCACAGGGCUGGGCUGUUAAUGUGCAGAGGUUCUAGCUCUCAGGUAAAUACAGUGUUCGAUACACAGGUGGGUAUUCACAGGGCUGGGCUGUUAGCGUGCAGGGGUUCUAGCUCUCAGGUAAGUACAGUGUUCGAUACACAGGUAAGUAUUCACAGGGCUGAGCUGUUAGCGUGCAGGGGUUCUAGCUCUCAAUGUAAGUACAGUGUUCCAUACACAGGUGGGUAUUCACAGGGCUGAGCUGUUAGCGUGCAGGGGUUCU